AAUGGGCGCAAGCCUGACCCAGCCAUGCCGCGUGCAGGAUGACGCCCUAUGGGUUGUAAACUGCUUUUAUAUAGGAAGAAAAUACUCUUGCGAGAGAAACUGACGGUACUAUAUGAAUAAGGACCGGCUAACUCCGUGCCAGCAGCCGCGGUAAUACGGAGGGUUCAAGCGUUUUCCGGAUUUAUUGGGUUUAAAGAGUGCGUAGGUGGUUUAUUAAGUCAGUGGUGAAAUCCUGCAGCUCAACUGUAGAACUGCCAUUGAUACUGGUAAACUUGAGUUUGGUUUAGGUAAGCGGAAUUUAUGAUGUAGCGGUGAAAUGCAUAGAUAUCAUAAGGAACACCAAUAGCGAAGGCAGCUUACUGGACCACAACUGACACUGAGGCACGAAAGCGUGGGUAGCGAACAGGAUU
rnacentral:rRNA from 1 species